GAAAUGCGAUAAGUAAUGUGAAUUGCAGAAUUCAGUGAAUCAUCGAAUCUUUGAACGCACCUUGCGCUCCUUGGUAUUCCUUGGAGCAUGCCUGUUUGAGUAUCAUGAAAUCUUCACAGUAAAUCUUUUGUUAACUCAAUUGGUUUCUACUUUGGUAUUGGAGGUCUUUGCAGCUUCACACCUGCUCCUCUUUGUUCAUUAGCUGGAUCUCAGUGUUAUGCUUGGUUCCACUCGGCGUGAUAAGUUAUCUAUCGCUGAGGACACUGUAAAAGGUGGCCAAGGUAAAUGCAGAUGAACCGCUUCUAAUAGUCCAUUGACUUGGACAAUACUUUUAUGAUCUGAUCUCAAAUCAGGUAGGACUACCCGCUGAACUUAAGC
rnacentral:misc_RNA from 1 species